AGUGAACGCUGGCGGUAGGCCUAACACAUGCAAGUCGAACGGCAGCACAGUAAGAGCUUGCUCUUACGGGUGGCGAGUGGCGGACGGGUGAGGAAUACAUCGGAAUCUACUUUUUCGUGGGGGAUAACGUAGGGAAACUUACGCUAAUACCGCAUACGACCUACGGGUGAAAGCAGGGGAUCUUCGGACCUUGCGCGAUUGAAUGAGCCGAUGUCGGAUUAGCUAGUUGGCGGGGUAAAGGCCCACCAAGGCGACGAUCCGUAGCUGGUCUGAGAGGAUGAGGGGCCACAGGGGAAGGAAGAGACGGUCCCGGAGACAAGGGGAGGGAGCAGGAGGGAAUGGUGAGCAAUGGGCGAAAGGCUGACGGAGCAAUGCGGCGGGAGUGAAGAAGGGCUUCGGAUCGUAAAACGCUGUUAGUAGGGAAGAAAAAAGGUGGAAGAACCUAUGCACGUCUUGACGGUACCUAAACAGAAAGCGACGGCUAACCACGUG
rnacentral:rRNA from 1 species